rnacentral:miRNA from 1 species
GGUAAAUUUGAUUUUAAAAUAAACAACAAAUAAUUUUUUAUUAUAAGUAUGUCCCAUGCAAGAUUUGGGACAUGCUUAUACUAAAAAAUUACUUGCAAUUUAUCUGAAAUUCACAUUUAACUGAGUGUC